UCCCUUCAAAAAGCACUCAGUGGGCCUUCUUGCAAUGACCCAUAGAGCCGUCAUGAAAGGGUAAAGAAAAUGACACUGCUUUUGGGUGAAGCGGCAGCUUGUGCUGUUUAGCUUCAAUCGGUGGUGUAACAAUA
ensembl:snoRNA SNORA21 small nucleolar RNA, H/ACA box 21